GCCAGCGUGGCUCAAUUGGCAGAGCAGCUGAUUUGUAAUCAGCAGGUUGCGGGUUCGAGUCCCGCCGCUGGCUCCA
rnacentral:tRNA from 4 species